UACAGAGGUGGCAAGCGUUGUUCGGAAUUACUGGGCGUAAAGGGCGCGUAGGCGGUCUUCUAAGUCUUGUGUGAAAUCCCUCGGCUCAACUGAGGAACUGCACGGGAUACUGGAAGACUUGAGUUCGGGAGAGGGAAGCGGAAUUCCGGGUGUAGCGGUGAAAUGCGUAGAUAUCCGGAGGAACACCGGUGGCGAAGGCGGCUUCCUGGACCGAUCACUGACGCUGAGGCGCGAAAGCUAGGGGAGCAAACAGG
rnacentral:rRNA from 1 species